UUCCAUCGAGUUAGGCAGCAAAUGUUGGUCAACAUCUUUAAUGUCUCUUUUCACUAAGCAUUAACUGCAAUUUCAUAUUAAUAGCAAUUUUACAAAAAUUACAGUGAGCUUGAAAAUUAUCUAGGAACAAAUGUGAAACAUGCUUGAUGCUGUUCAAGGACAAAUUUGAAUUUAAAAUAUAUUUCCACCCUUUUUUCUCAGCUAAGCUGUUCCUGAUUAUCCAAUUUACUGAUAACAUUCCUGCCUCAUCUCAGAGGAGGAAGCCCUCCCAGAGGAUAAACAGGGUUUCUGUCUGCAACCGAGCUAGUUCUGCGAGAGAGGAGGUACUGAACAAUUUACCUGCAAAAGGACUGCAAAGGUCUGGAGAACCUGCAUCCAAAUCAGAAACGUGAUUGCCCUGAGACCAACUAUAAAUGCACAAAUCUCAGAGCAAAGUACCACAGAGAUGACCAAUGACACACCAGAGACUGAAGAAGAGGAAGAACUUCCUUCUGAUCAGCAUAGUUAAAGCCUGUAACCUGAUGCAAUAUUAAUUUAAUGGUUUCUCUCUUUGCUAGUGCCAGACAGCUUUCCCUCCCUGUAUUGGACAUUGCCAGAGCUCAACACAGUCUUGCUAAACACAGAAGAUUGUAGAUAACACCAGGCCAAAACAUAUCUGAGUUUUCUUCAUUUUCUUUUCAGUAAUCUAAAAUAAACAAACCAGCAUCUUCUAAAUGAUGAUUGAGCAAUACAUUACCUUAGAUACUUUGGUUUUCAAAAUUUUCCCUUGUUGGGCUUAGAUAUUAAAAUAGUAAUGACAUUAAUUAAAACUAAGAGCAAGAACAGCUCUUAGAGUUGUACUGUGAGGGAAUGUUCAUAGUAUGAAAUUAUGUAACCCAUCAUGGAGCUGAAUCCUCACACCUAAACCAAACAGCACCUGGAGCUCACAGUGGCAGAAGAGGAUGAAUUCAGAGUGGCGAAAGAGUGAGUGGCAGAACAGAAUACAGAGCCCUGCUCCAACACACUAUUGAUUUGCUCUGAAGUUAUGUGAAGUAUUACUGUUGACUUCAGUAUUAAAAGUGAAAAUUUUAUCAUGGUAUUUGAUGCUGCACAAAGACUCCAUUAACUUCAAAUGGAUGUUCCGUGCACUUUACAGAGCUGCCUUGUAUUUGAAGUAGACUCCCAUAUUUCAUUAGGCAGAAAAUUACUGCUUCUAUGUCAAAUUUUCCUUCCGUUUACAGAGCUGGAGAUUUAGCCCCAGUCUAGUACAGUUAGUAGGAACACAGUGACUCCCAUCUUUAAUGCGAGGUAUAAAUACACUAUCAAUAUUGCUUUUUCUUCAUUGAAAGUAAACCAAUAGACUAGAGUUUCUUUUGAAUAUGUUGCUAUACGCUCUGGGAUGCAUGAAAAGCAUUUGAGUGAGUAAAUUUGCAUCAUAGUCAUCCUUGUAAACAUCUUUAUCUGAACGCUGAAACCAAUUAUAUGAAUUUGGCUUUUAUCUUCUAACUGUACUUCUGUCAAAUGAACUAACAGGUGCACGUGCUGCAUCCCAAAGGCAAAAUUUGGCUCAUGGUGCCUAACGAUCAAGGAGAGAUGAUGCACAUAUUUUUUGUAGGAAGAUAAUGUUUCAUGCUCCUUUGCUUUAAUUUUGCUGUCACUGAAAAGAACAACACAGGGAUCCUGCUGCCUCCACUCCCAGUGUUCUGUUCAUGCUGAAGCUACAGACAGGCUCUGCCAGGCCAGAGACCAAAGCGUGUACUGCGUGUUCGUGCUAUGCACAGUUCAUCAUGCUGCCCUGCACCAAACAGAGCUGCUCAUUUCAUAGAUUGGAGAGCCAUUUAAGGUGAACCUGGAAUCAUUCUUGGUAGUAAAAUUCAAACCAUCUAAAGUCAAGCUGGGAUUUUCCUGGACUCUUUCCCCCAGUCUUCAAAACAUGUAUCUAGCCUUUGCCUUUACUCUCAUGAAUAAGGAAUUUAGAGCCAUAGACUCAUUACUCUCAACUGUCACUGCCCAUAAAAAUGCAAAUCAAGGGAACUAAUAGGCUCCCAGAUGCAGGCAUAAAUUCAGAGCCCCUGCACAGUUUUCUUUUUUUUCCUCUUUCUUUUCUUUCUCCAGUUUGCCUUGGGAGCAGGCUUGACAUGAUUUCCUGAAAAGCUCCCUGCUUUGCUUCACCAUCCCCAUGACCAACGGCUGCACAAUUUACGUGGAUUAAUUGAGCUACAAACAGUAACACCCAGAUCUCUCAUGCUGCUUAAAAUAUCAUACAGUGAAAACAUGCACUGUGGUAAGGGUCAAAGACAGAGGAUCAUGUUAAUAGAGUAGACUUUUGUCUAUGAGAAUAAGGGCACCCAGACUAGUGCAUUAUAAUGUAAAAUUCUUAACAACUUCUCUGCUCUGCUAUACCUCCAACUGAAGAUGUGCUGGGGGAGGUCAGAGCAAUUCGCCUGACUCAGCCUGCCGCCAGACAAAAAUAGAUCGUGUUAGCUUCUUCAACAAUUAUGAAAGAUUUCUUUUUUUUAAUUAAGAGGCUAUGAUACAGAAUAGAAAAGGGAAACCCUCAGAGGAUAUAAAAGAAAAGGAAAAAUUCAGAAGGCAGGUGGGGUUAAAGCUGAUGUUUUGAAGCUUAUAGUCAUACUUCAGGACUUUCCUUUCCCAGGCAGGAUGCAGCCUAGCAAGGGAGAAGGGCACGGGUGUUUAUGAACUGGAGUUGCUCUCUGCAAAGUUUGCUGCCAGUAAUAAUCUGUCUUGAGCAGCAGUGUUUUGGAAUAGAGUUGCUGACUCAUACAGAUUUGUGAUCAUACUAAUCUCCAUACAACUUUUAUGAGAAGCUGCCAGAAAUGAGCACUUACAUUUGUAGUAUACAUUUGUGAAACUGAGCUACAAUAGAACAUCCAUCCACAUUACAAAAAGAGACAAGUUCUGGGCCUGCUUCCAUACAAGAAGUACAUUUCAUCUGCGUAUCUUCCAGACUUCCCUUCAACCUCUGGACUACGAAAUUCCCUAAUACUUUUCUCCUUCCCUCUUAGACUUGUUCUGCCCCUUAAAGUACAAGAAACCUUAAGAGGCUGGAAAAUAAGACCAUGUAUAUGGAAUCAAAACUCCUCUAUUUCCCUGUAUUCAGUAGAGUCGUGGUACAGAGAUGAUGAAAUCAAGACUCAUGUAUUUAAUCCUGUAAUUUUCAGAAGCAGUAUUGUCUUGCAUUGGAUUUAACAUUCUGCAGACAGCUGCCUUUUCCAAAGAAUAAUAGCUGUCCACACAAGUGCGUAUGUGUGCAGGGGGAGAUGACACUGAGCACUCUCAUGUGGAAAAGAAUACCCCCUCCUUUGAGAAAGGUCAAGCAAUCUAUCAGCAUAUUUCAAGAAUUUACCAUACUUUUUUACGAAAGGCAGUGACUUCCACACCAAGGGACAGCUUCUUCCAGUAAGCUAGUUUCUAGCUUCUUACAGCAAGCUAGAAAAAUUACAGGCAAUAGUUUGUACUACCUCUACAUGAAGCUAAACCUGUGUUUCAAGUCUUUCACUCCAUUUACUACCUAAAAACAUUGAAAUUCUAUCACUCACACUGGUACACUGCCACUGAAUUUAUUUAUCUACUUUGCUGGGACAACUAGAUGAUAAACAGCAAGAAGACCAAAUCAUGUGUAUACCAAGCUAGCCACAGAGAUGUGCAUUUGUAGGACCACACUUUUGAAUAGCAGCUCCUAUAGCUUCCCACAGUGGUCACCAUGCACUUUCUACACCUCUAGCCACUUGUCACCACUUCUUUCCUGACCUCUUCCUGUAUAGUUCCAUGCGCAGUUUCAGAGAAGAGAAAGGGAGACCCUUUAAAGGUACAGUGUUUGUAUGAGGCUUUUUGAGUACCAGAGACAGGUAGAAGAGAGAGACUUAAGUCAACAAUCUCAAGGAAUUCUGCAGUGUGAAUUCAAAUGUUAUUUAUCUGUUGACCUGGUAUGCUACAACAUGUGUCCUAGAGAACCAAUGCAUACAAGUAGCUUGGAGCCUACCCACCACCCAGACACCCAGCAGAUGCUACUAUCACCACAGUAAAUGGGAAUUGGGGGCACUACAGGGCUGGGGACAGUCACAAAGAGCAAGAGAGUUAUAAUUACCACUGUAGAAAAGAACAAAUUCUGCUGUUUCUAGUAUAAAGUGCAACAAGACUUGGGCUUAGUGCUCAGUGUAACCUGGAUGAGCAUAGAAUUUAACUGUGGCAGAAACCCUCACCUGUUAUUUAUGAAAAGUGUAUAUGCCACCAAGAGAAGAGAACUGUGAGUGAUGUACAGUUUAUAUUAGUUUAGCAGAUGUGGCAUGAACACAGAUCCUUUUUGUGUGAGUAUGCUCAACUAGACAUCUGAGCUUACACAUUAUGGAAAGGUCACCUUGCAUGUUCCAACAUGGAUGCCCACACAGAGUUCAAAAAUUGUUUCUUACCAACAAUCAUGUGGUUGCAGACAUCACAGAAGGUGGGUUUUUUGAAGAUGUGCUCCUGGAAGAUGUGAGCCUUGU